rnacentral:lncRNA from 1 species
AGAGCCUGCGCCACGGCGGAAGCAGCCAUUGGCGGAGGCGCGAGACCGCAACUGCUCACUUCCGGCGCGGGUCGCCACGAUUUCCCCCGACCCCUACGUCGCCUCGGCCUUCCACCAUGGCCGCCUCUGUGUGGCGUGAGGAGAAGCUGGUCAUCCGUGUCCUCCUGUAGCGCUACUGCCUCACCCUCACCCUCUAGGGCCCGGAUCCAAAGGAGCCUCGCUCCGCAAACCCUGGGCGCCGGCUGGGAAGACCUCCCGGCCCCGACCGCGGGGGCAGGACUCCCCCGCCCCCACCGCUAGGGGCAGAAACUUAGGGUCUUCCCCUCGGUUAGGGUCAGAAGCCAGAGAGGGCUGCCCUCCCACGGCCCCAGGGCCGGAGCCUCGCCCAGCCACCGCGGGGCGCAGACCCCGGCUACCGCACUCUGAGCUAACGGCUUCCCUACAGCCCUGCCACCCCGGAAGCUGCCUUGCAGGACCGGCCGCCUUCGUGCCUCCCAGGCGCGGCCUCGGAGAGGAGGGCGGAGUGCCGAGCACGGGGGCCCGCGCCCUCCCCUCCCCCCGGCCUCCGGCCCCUCUUCCCGGGCGACCCCGAGUUCCCCACUUCUAGGACUUCCCACCCACCCACUCCCCGGCCUUUUCCCGUCUCCUGGCUGCUGCCAUGGAGUUACAGAAGGGAAAGGGGGCAGCAGCAGCAGCUGCUUCGGGAGCGGCGGGAGGUGGAGGAGGAGCGGGAGCAGGAGCCCCAGGAGGGGGGAGGCUGCUACUUUCAACCAGUUUGGAUGCCAAGGAUGAGUUAGAGGAGGUAGGUGUGGCGGGUGGGGAAGGGAGUUAAGAAAUUGGGUUGAGGGAUACGGAGCGGAUAUGGGUGGGGGCGGGGGGAAAGGCCUUCAAGUUUUUUCCAAGGCAACACAAACACUGCUCUAGUUUCCUGCUCCUGAAGGAAGAAGUGUGGGCCAACUUCCUGGAUAGGUUGUCAUAGUAACAGCAGCCACAGUCUGAAAAUGGGUGAGGGGUGUUGGUGAUGGAAGGGAUACAGCAUCCAGAUUUACCGAAUUUAUUUAUUUUUAUUCCUUUCCACAUACACAUCACAGCUAUUUUUAAUGUCCACUCUGUUUCAGACCCAGAUCAUAUUGACUUGAGAAUAAUGUGUGUGUGUUUGUGUGUGUGUAGGUGUCUUGGGCUGAUAGGAGCUUGCAGCAGGCCUUGGACCCUCCUGUUAGAUGGUAUUAUUGACGUCGGCAGACACAGCCAGUUGCCAGUCAACUAGGCAUUUAGAAUGAGGACACGUGAAUAGUGUUAGUUCAGUAGCCUCAGCCACAGGAAUGGGGUGAACAAGUGAAUGUGACCUAGGGGACCAUGUUCCGUAGAAGAGAUAGAGAACACAGAGUUGCUGAGAAGAAUGUAGGGCAGGGGAGGUAGCUCACUCAGUAGUAGCACACUUGCCAAGCAUGCCCCAUGCCUUGAGUUUAAUUCCUAGUACCUCAUUUUUAAAAAGGAUGGAGUGAGGCAAUACCAUGGAACAGAAUGGGAAUUCUUAGGGAACUUGGUAGUUGUUCCUCCCUUCUCUUCCCCCAGUUGUUCUUCCCCUGCUGGUUUGGAGUCGAUCACAUAUCUCUUUCCUAUGCUAUACACAAAGUUAUUGACAUAGGAAUAUAAGACCCAGCCCAGAACUGAGGCAUGAUUCCUGAACUAUUUGUAAAGCCUAUUCAGUGCUUCAACUCAGUGGUUAUCUAGAGACAGGAUGAGGAAAUUAAUAGGCCCUGGCUCUUCACUGUUCAUUCUGCUGCUUCUGAUUUUGUUAUAGCCCUUUAUCAGUUAUUAGAGGGUAGAUAGGCAGAUAGGUGAAACUCAUAAGUUUAUUUGAAAAACUAUUAGUUCAGACACAAGACAGUGAGACAGUGUGAAUCAAGAGGUGGUUAAAUAGCAACUGCAGAUUACCUACCGGCAAAAGUCUACUUGUAGUUUGGCUUCCCCCCAGUAGUUCUCUGAACAUUUAGAUAAAGUUUGUUUUGUGGUUAUUUUUUUUUUUAAAUCAAAAUAAAUAUAAUUAGAAAUGUAAAUAAUACUGCAAAAAUAAUGUAUUUCCAAAAAUUAAAUUGAGUUACUUAAAAAAAAAAAAUCUUGCUUAGGAUUACCUGGAUAUUCAAAUUAUCCUUUUUUAACGAAAUGACCAUUUUGGGGACUAGAGAUGUAGUUCAAAUGGUUAAGUGCUUGCCUGGCAUGCGUGAGGCCGUUGUUCCAUCUCUGAGUACUACACCACCACGAGAGAAAGAAAUGGCCACUUUUAUGUCAGUAGUAAAACUACUGCCUUUGGUUCCUCUAUCAGUUGUAUGGAAGGGAAAAGACUAAUGGUGGAUGAUAAUCUGUUUAUUCCUCAUCCUGAUUCCUACAGGGGUCAUCGUGCCUGUGAUUUAAUUUAAACCACAGGGUAAGACAGCAUCCUGUUCAGUAAACAAAAUGAUAUGGCAGGAGGAGACCACAAAAGAAGGGAAGCAUUUAUUUUCUUGCUUUUUUAGACUGAGAAUGAACUUUUUACUGUUUCCAGGGAGAAGAGGAAGGGAGAGUCCUUUUUUUUUUUCCCCCUAAUCUCCAUGGUGCAGAUGUUUCUUAUUGUGCCUCAAGCUCCUCUACUCUCCUUCCUUCUUGGCCUUUUGUCCUUUGCAUUCAAACUUUCCAGCUAGCCUUACAACACUAUUUUCCCCCCGUUUGUGGUUCUGUCAACCCCACUAGACCAGAGUGAUUUUAAGGGCUCUGACUUCUUCAUCUGGGCCUCAGCACAGAUCUCUGCACACAGAAGUUAUCAAAACCUGGUUGUUGACCAACUGACCUGUGCUUGUUCUGGCUGGGUAAUUUUCCUUUACAGGUCUAUCUAUUCAGGUACGCAGAGGUAGCCCCCUGACCAUGUACACUUACUGUGUGUUGAGAAUUAUAGGGAAAUAAGAUGGGUGAGACCCAAAGUCUGCCUUCCACAGUUUAAUCAUCUGAAGACUUGAAUUAACACACCCAAAAGAAGGUUUAAAACAAAGAGGAUCUGAUUAGAAUAAUGAAGAGGAUGGGGUCAUUAUAGUUGGGUAUGAUUUGGAAAGGCUCUUUAGAGGCCUGGAGUAUGAAGCAUUAGUCAAGGUCAGGGGCUGAGACUCUUCUACCCCAGGGAAUGUUCCUUGUAUCCUUUCUUCUCUUUGACCUCAUUCCUCCCUUUGAAGACCAGUCUCCUUGCUCAUCCCCAGCCCAAUUUGGGGAGGGAAUGGGAUAAAAAUAGUGCCAGAGAUUGGAGGAGUUAGAACAUGUAGUUCCUACUUGCAUGAGCCUUUGCAGCUCCUGGUUAUUCCUUUGUCAAAGAGGGGCCAGCCACCUUGAAGUGAGACUGAAAGCAGGAGCUGUGGCCCAGACAAGUCAGAACUUCUUGAAGUUAUGGAUAGGUCUUAGCAUUGCAUUUGAUUAGAAGUAUGUCCCUGCCAUAUUUUCCCCAGGGAAUAAUUUAUAUCCUUUCCAUGGAAUCGCUAGGGAAUGGGCUUUGAGUCAUUUCCAGUUUUUUUCCAUAAAUCAUCAUUUCACAUACAAGGGACUCCUUGUUGAAUAUAGGUUGUCCUUAAGUAUCCAUAGGGGAUUGGUUCUAGGCCCAUCAGAGGAUGCCAGAAUCUGAGAUGCUCAAGGCCCUAUGUCAGUUCUGUGUACGGGGAAAGGAAGGGCUAGCUGUGCUUGGAACCUGCUGUUGAGUAACUCCUCAUUGAUGUGGGUUCUUGAGGAUUUUGCCCAUUGGAUCAUUUCUUCCUUUCCUGAAGACCAUAGAAUUUAGUGCUUCAAGGCCAAAAUGUCCCAUAAAGGAGCAGUAUAUACUAUUACACUCCCCCCCACCCCAACUAGGGAUUGAACUCAAGGUCCUACCUUGCUAGGCAAGCACUCCACCACUGAGCUAUACCCCCGCAGCUCGUUCUUUCUUUUAUUAUUAUUUUUAAUUUUUUUAGUUGUCAAUAGACCUUUAUUUUAUUUAUUUAUUUAUAUGUGGGGCAGAGAAUCAAACCCAGUACCUCACAUAUGCUAGGCAAGUGCUCUACCACUGAGCUACAACCUCAGCCUUUAUUUUUUAUUUUUUUGAGAUGGCCUUGGUAAUUUGACUAGGCUGCUUUGAACUUAGGUUCCUCCUGCCUCAGCAUCCUGAGUAGCUGAAAUUUUAUUGUACACUUUUUUACCACACUAUAUAUUUUCUUAGCUUAGGGUGGGAAAUGAAAGAUUAGAGGGAUCCUUUUAACUUGAGACUCCAAAGUCAGUUUUCAGCUUCAGGUAUAUAAUGGCAGAUAUCUGUUGCUGUUGUCAUGGUAGUUAUGGUCAGGCAGUCUUAGUACUAGAAAAAUUAGUUGAGGAGCUCCUAGAGAUGAUAAAUAUUUACUCACCUCUCUGAGAUGCUGUUGUAGAGUGCUUAUUCUGAACAGAGCCAUUCUGCCAGCAAUUGUUGGCAGCUACAUACAUGAUUUCAUCUUUACUAAGGGCCUCCAGAGACUGGGGGAAGAAAGAUAUGGUUACUGGAUUGUAGGAAUCUAGUUUCCUGUGGCCCUCUUUGAGGGGAUUUGAUGCUUUUUUUUUUUAAUAUUUAUUUUUUAGUUGUAGUUGGACACAAUACCUUUAUUUUAUUUAUUUUUAUGUGGUGCUGAGGAUCGAACCCAGGGCUUCACAUGUGCCAGGCAAGCACUCUACCACUGAGCCACAACCCCAGCCCAGGAUGUGGUGCUUUUGACAUCCUGAAUCGUUAAUUCUCCAUCCUGUAUGGAGAAGUAAUUUCUAUAGUUCAUGAGGAGUAGUGUCUUCUAUACUCCCAUUGCCUGCAAAGGACUUCCCAUCACAUUUCUCUCUCCAUUGUGUUUAUCUACUUUUCCAGAUUCUGGACUCUCCUACUUUCUACAUCCUUAGCUGGGCCUCCCUGUUUCCAGAGGCCACUUUGUCCUUAACUGGGCAGUGACCCAUAGAAAAUUGACUCAGGCCUCUGAGCAGAGCUUAGAAUAUCCAGGAGGGGCCUAGAGAAACUGUUCCACCCAAGGUCUCUGAGAGUUAAAUCAUAGCGAGAAACUCUACCGCUCAUAGGGCUAUGUAGCCAGCUUUGUAGGAUUUUGGUACAGGGCCCAUCAGGCAGGCCUCUUCUAGAAGUCAAAGGUUUACAGAGGUAAGUAGGAGAGGAAGCAUUUCAGCCUACUCAAGCAUUUAUCCAUGGCCUGUGGUAGGGGGUUAGUUUUCAGGGAUCUUCAAGGACAUGCAAUUAGAAAUAGUGGCAAAUGUUUUGAAGAGUCUGUUCUUCGUAGAUGUAGAUUUGUGCAACUGAUGAGCUUCCUUACAAAUUGGAUAGAUUCUAGCUCAAUGAAGGCUGUAUGCUAGAUGCUUUCAAAUUUUUAUCUUAUUUAAUCCUCAGAGCAACCUUGUGAUAUAGGAAUUAUCUCUAUAUGAUAAGAAAACCAGGGUUUAGAAAGAGUAAAUAACUCACCCAACAUGAACCUAAAGCUAACUAGCAAGUGCGGUUCCUUCUAUGCUGGGUUUCCUGUCAGUUUGCAUUAGUUAGCUGCUGUUUGAUUUUUUCCUCUCUCUGUUGAUUCAGCAGAGAUUUCUUCCUUUGAUAGGAAACAACAUCUAGAAUUUUAGGAUGCUAUGCUGCUGCUUGUUCACUGUGUCCCUCAACUCUGCUUGUUAACCUCCGUUGGAUACAGGGGUACCACCAAGAAUAGUCUAGACUUGGCAGCUAGAAUAACACUCUCUCCAGUCCCUGGUAAGAAUCUUGGGUAGAAAGGGAUGAAACUUUUUUUAAAAGGAAGCCCAGUGUGAUGUUUUUCCUUCCCUUCUCUUUUUAUGUAUGAGGUGUACAAGGUAAUGAUGUAUCUCAGAGUUUGUUGGAGAGGUGGUUUGUGACAGUCACAGCUCAGCUUUCAUGUGAUCUCACAGUUCCCUUUCACAAGUACGCAGGUGCUGUUUAUUAAGGUGGAACCUGCUGAUCUGACCUAAUUUGGGAGAUAGACCUGACAUUUCCAGUGAAGUUGUAAUACCUGCAAACCUGGCAGCUUUGGGUUAUUUUAGGUUGAAGUUUUGUAGCUACCAGAGCUGCUUACAUUAACACAUAAUUCUACCCUCUGCCACCUUAUGUUCUUACCCAGGAUAGACAUACACAACUUCAAGAUGGUGGUUAGAAGAGAAGCAUGAUUAUCUUUCAUGCCUAGACCUUUUCCCAUUGUCCUUAUAUUCAGUUAUUAACAAGAUGUUUUGUUCUGGCAUCUAUAGUCAAAGGGAAGUAAACCAGCCUGCCUUUGUCACAAUUUUGCCAGCAGCAUUAUCAUUGGGGAUCAUUUUUCCUUAAACAGUUUUUGGGUUAAUCCUCAUGAUAAAAGUUUUAAAGGACUAAGGUUUAGGUGUUGAUAGUGGAAAAGCUUUCUGGCAAAAUAUAUGAGAUAUAUUAUCAAUAUCUAAAUGUUUAGUAUCAAAUGCAUCUUUGAAACAAGGAACCAGUGACUAAGAUCUCUUUAGAAAAUGUUGAGCACAUGCCAUGUUUGGGUGGCCUUUGAAAGUAGAAUGGCCCUUGGAUAGUUUUUAAUAUAGCUGUCCCUACUUUUGUUUAACUAGAGACCUUGGCAAGUUUUAGUCUGGCCUUUUAUUCUGUCACUCCUUUUCUUUCCUCAUACUCUCAUUAUUUUUUAAGUUUGUUUUUAGCAUUUUGAGGGAUGUUAGGUAGAACAGUAUCUCCAUAUAGCUGUGUCUAUAUAUUUAGUGCAUGCUGCAUGCAUGUGUAGAAAUAUCAUACAUUCAAUUAAGACAUGUUAACAAAAAAGAAAGUAUUUUUAAUAUAUAUUUAUAUGUGUAUGUAUGUAUGUGUGUGUAUAUAUAUAUAUAUAUAUAUAUAUAUACACACACAUACAUACAUACACAUAUAAAUAUAUAUUAAAAAUACUUUCUUUUUUGUUAACAUGUCUUAAUUGAAUGUAUGAUAUUUCUACACAUGCAUGCAGCAUGCACUAAUCAAUCCAGCCUCUGUUUAUUCACCCUUUCCUACCACUGCCUUUCCCAACCUCUAAUAAUCAGUAUAUAGAUUCACAUUGACUUGUUUUUAGUUUCUACAUACAUGGGAAGUUACAUACAUGUCUUUCUAUAUCUAGCUUAUUUUACNUUUUAGCAAAUACUCAGUACUAAUAUCCUACCUAUGAAUGUUAACAGUACUCUCCUUUAAGCCAUCUCCUGGCUUUACCUCUGGCCUCUGUUGGGUUUUCUGGAAGUCUCAUGAUUAUCUCUCUUCUUGCUUUUUCUUUCUCUUUCUUGUCUCUGCUUCUUUCUCUUAUUUACCUUACCAUCCCCCCAAAAAAAUUUUAACAAUUUCUUACUAUAUAAUCAGUAUUUCAAGUCAGUAAUCCAAGAUCCAUACCUUGUAUUCUGUUUAAGUCUUCAAUUUUCUUUCUUUCUUUCUUUCUUGUGUGUGUGUGUGAGAGAGAGGGAGUGGUGGGGAGGUACUAGGGAUAGAACUCAGUCUUGUGCAUGCUAGGCAAGCACUCUACCACUGAAUUUUAUCUCCAGCCUGACUCUUUUUUUCUUUAAUAUUAUUAUUAAAUUUUUUUAUUUGUUUGUUUUGGCAAUGCUGGGGUUUGAACCUAGGGCCUUGUGCAUGCUAGGCAAGUGCUGUACCACAGAGCUACAUUUCCCAGCCUAGAUUCUUUAAUUUGUUUAAUAACUUUAUUUCAAAAUAAUUUCAAACUUAAAGAAAAAUUAUAAUACAUAGAAUGCUCAUAUGCUUUUCACUUAUAUUUGCUGAUUAUUAGUAUGUGGCACAUCUGCUAUAUUACUCUAUAUAUAUACAGAUAUUUUAUUCUUUUGAAAGUAGCAGCCAUUGAUGCUCCUUUAAAUUUAAAUACUUCCACAUAUAUUUCCCAAUAACAAAAGAUUUUUUAAAAGUACUUUCUUUUUGGUUAACCUGUCUUAAUUGUAUGUAUUUCUACACAUGCAUGCAGCAUGCACUAAUCAAUCCAGCCUCUGUUUAUUCACCCUUUCCUACCACUGCCUUUCCCAACCUCUAAUAAUCAGUAUAUAGAUUCACAUUGACUUGUUUUUAGUUUCUACAUACAUGGGAAGUUACAUACAUGUCUUUCUAUAUCUAGCUUAUUUUACUUAAGAUAACAUCGUAUGGUCCCAUCCAUUUUACUGUAAAUGAUGGGAUUUCAUUCUUUUUUGUGGCUGAAUGAUAUUUCAUUGUGUAUAUUAUCACUUUUUCUAAUCCAUUCAUAUAUUGAUGGGCAGCUAGGUUUGUUCCAUAGCUAUUAUAAAUAGUGCCAUAAUAAUCCAAGGUGUGCAGGUAUCUCUUUGGUAUCCUGAUUUUAUUAAAAACAGGAAUCUUCCCUCACAUAUCCACCAUUCCAUUGUCAAGACUGGAUAAUUUGCCAGGCACUGUGUGGCACACACCUAUAAUCCUAGCAGUUCAAGUGGCCAAGGUAGUUUGCAAGCUCAAGCCCAACCUCUGCAAUUGAACAAGACCCUGUCGCAAAAAGGGUUCAGAGCUCAGUAGUAAAGUGCCCGAGGAUUCAAUCUUCAGUACCCUGGGAGUGGGGCUGGAUAGUUUAACAUUGACAUGUUGCUAGUUCAAGUCAGUAAUUCAAGUAUUCACAUUUUAUCUGUCAUCCCAAUUAUAGCAGUCCAGGAUCACACCGUUGUAUUUAGGUGUCAUAUCUCUGUAUUACUCUAUUAUUCUUUAAUCUGUAACAGAUUCGUAAUCCAUUUUGUCUUUCCUUACCUUAGCUUUUUUAAUGUUAAGGCUUUUUUUUUUUCUUUAUUCUUUUUUGGCGGUGUUGGGGAUUGAACCCAAGGCCUUGUGCAUGUGAGGCAAGCAGUCUACCAACUGAGCUAUGUCCCCAGCCCCUUAAGGCAUAUUUUUGACAGGCCAGUUAUUUUGUGGAAUCUCUCAAUUUGGGUUGUCUCAGACUCCUGAGUAGCUGGGACCCCCACAUGCCACCACCUAUCUUCAGUGCAUCUUAUCAGAUGCAUAUAGUGUACUUUGGUUCCUUGGUUAAGGUGAUGCCCUCCAGGUCUUCUUACAUUUAUUAUUUUCCCUCUGAGAUUUAUAAGUUUGAGUGAAUCUUCUUUCUCUUGAAAGUUUUACCUACUGGUAAACAUCUAUUGAAAAUAUUUGCCUAAAUCAACUAUUAUUCUUGCUAUUCUUUCUAUAUUUGUUAGAUGGUGCUCUACUAUAAGGAAGGACUUCUCCUUUUCCUUUUAUUUUUUUUUUUAAAGGCAGUUAGAGCUAGAGACAUCAUCAGGUUUGAAUUUUUUAAGAACUUUUUUGGGGCCAUAAAGGUAUUGUGUCCAUGUAGAACAAUGGUGGAGCACCUAGGCACGGUGCUACAUGCCUAAAAUCCUAGCUGUUUGGGAGUCUGAGGCAAGAGGAUCAUGAGUUCAAAUCCAGCUUAGCAAUUUAGCGAGGCCCUAAGCAACUUAGCGAGACCCUGUUUCUAAAUAAAGUAUGUAAAAAUAGGGCUGGAGAUGUGGUUCAAUGGGUAAGUGCCCUGGGUUCAAUGCCUAGCACCAAAAAAAAAAAAAAAGUAACAAUACUUCGUAGGUGAUACUGACACACUGUUAUUUUGUUCUCACUCUCCCCAGAGAUUGGAAAGGUGUAUGAACAUUGUGACGUCAAUGACAACUGGUGUCUCUGAGAGAGAGGCCAAUGAUGCCCUUAAUGCUUAUGUAAGUACAGCACUCCUUGUAUCCAUUUCUGCUUCUGGAAAGUUCUUAGAUACAACCAGAAAUAUGGAAAGAUUAAGUGGGUAAGAUCUAGGGUUUUUUAACUCCUCUUUUAGGGUGGAAAGCUACCUACUAGAGUCUUGUAUGUUUUUAAAUAACAACCUUUUAAUAAAUUCAGUUCGGUAGUAGUUUUUUCUUUGCAAAUUAUCCUCACAUAUUUUAUCUUUUACGUUUCCAUUGAACUGUGUGGUCAAAAUAAAUGGUACAUGUGAAGGACUUAGAGUAAUCUCAGGUUCACAGUAAAUGUUCAGUAGGUAUUACCUGCUUAUUGUUGUAUUUUUAUUUUUUUGUUCUACAUGGACACAAUACCUUUAUUUUAUUUGUUUUAUUUAUUUAUUUAUUUGUUUGUUUGUUUAUUUUAUGUGGUUCUAGAGAUUGAACCCAAUGCCUCACACAUGCUAGGCAAGCAUUCUGUCACUGAGCCACAACCCCCACCCCUGUAUAUUAUUCUUAUUAUGUCUUUUUUUUUUUUUCAAUAUUUAUUUUUUAGUUUUCGGCGGACACAACAUCUUUGUUUGUAUGUGGUGCUGAGGAUCGAACCCGGGUUCCGCCCAUGCUAGGCAAGCGCUCUACCGCUGAGCCACAAUCUCUUAUUAUGUCUUCAUUUUAGAAAUCUCAGAGACUUAUUGAUUUGCCCAUAGUUAGGGUUGGUAGGUAGGCUUGUUGGUAGCAGCUGCCUUUUUUUUUUUUUUUUAGUUUUAGGUGGACACAGCAUUUUUAUGUGGUGCUGAGAAUUGAACUCAAGUGGUGAACACUCUGCCACUGAGCCACAACCUCAGUCUAGCAGCUGCCUUUCUACUGUGUGCUGCUAAGAUCUGACAGAGCGGGGGAGGAGGACUUUUUGGUUUUAUUUUUCCUAUCUUAAACACUCUCUUUUCUAUUUCUGGCUUACUUCAGGUGGCUCGAGAAAGCAAUAAAGGUUAUCCCUUCCCUCCACCUCUCUCCUAAAACAGAUGUCUCAUCCUUUUUUUUGAUACUGGGUGCUUUACCACUGAGUAUACUUCCCAGCCUCACCCCACCCACCCAACCACCCCUUUUUUUUGGAUACAGAGUCUCACUAAGUUGCUGAGGCUAGUCUCAAACUUUUUUUUUUUUUUUCAAAUAUUUAUUUUAGUUUUCGGCGGACACAACAUCUUUGUUUUGUAUGUGGUGCUGAGGAUUGAACCCGGGCCGCACGCAUGCCUGAGCCACAUCUCCACCCCGCUAGUCUCAAACUUGAGAUUCUCCCGCCUCCCCAGUUCCUUGGAAUACCGGUGUGGGCCACUGUCCACCUAGCUUCAUCCCUUUUAAGAGAAGAAAAUAAUCCGAUUCAAGAGUUGAUCAUUCUCCAUUGCAUGUUAGGAGGCUUUAGUUUUCUGGGUGAUACUGUGCUUGAAUUUGAGUACCACCAACUACUUUAUUCCCUUCCUCACUUUCCAGGUUUGCAAAGGUCCCCCCCAACAUGAGGAAAUCUGUCUGGGCCUCUUUACUCUUGUUCUCACAGAACCUGCCCAAGCCCAGAAGGUAAGAUACCUGCUGUGGACCCACAGACCCUCUCAGACAGGAUCUGGGAAUAUGGUGAAAUUUACCAUUUAACUGGGGACAUAUCAGACUCUUUGACUAGUGCUGAAUCAAUUUGUUCUCCAAAUGUAAUUUUAAUCCCUUUUUAUUCUCAGUGAAUUGAUUAUUCUCCAAGUUCUUUCUGUUCCCAGACCCUAAAGCUAAAAGGCAAGAAAAGGCAGUUGUGAGAGUGAAAAGCACUUACAGAUUGAAAUUUUAGGUGUAUGAGGUGAGGCUCAAAGGGCUGGGAUCUAAUCCUAGGAGAGAAGAAAACCACUGUAAUGAUAUCAGUGAAAGUUCUUAUUCAGAAGAGCAUCCCCAUUAGCAGGUGAAUAGAAAGCAGGCUUAAAUUUGCAGCAAGUAGCUGUAAUCCUAGCAACUUGGGAGGCUGAGUCAGGAGGAUUGCAAAUCCAAAGACAGACUUAGCAGUUUAGUGAGCCUUAAGCAAUUUAGAAAGACCCUGUCUCAAAAUAAAAAAAGGCUGGGCAUGGGGCUCAGUGGUUAAGCCCCGCUACAAUCAAUCCCCAGUAUCAAAAAAAAAAAUUGGUGGCAAGUAGAAUUUAGAGUAGAUAACUAAUCCUAGCUACUCAGGAGGCUGAGGUAGGAACAGCUUGGACAAUUUAGUGAAACUCUGCCUCAAAAUAAAAGAGAGUUGAGGCUAUACCUCAUGAUAUAGCUGGUGCCUAGCAUGCAGGAGACCCUGGGUUCAACUCCUGGUCCUUUUUUCAAUGAAAACAGAUUAUAGAGAGUGCUGGAGUCCAACUUACUGAGGAAUACAGUAAACCUAGUCUGUAGCUCUUUGUAAACAGAAAAGGAGUCUUUACGCAGAAUGAUAUAAUUGGGAUUCUUCCUUAAAGUGAAGGUCUAGGCGGUAUGAUCUCUGUGCAUUCUGUUCUUUUUAUAAUAACAUAGCAAAAUUAAGUCUUCUGCCUGCCUAGAUUUCCCCUUUCCAGUAAUUCCAUGUCCUUUGAGUCUCGGCAUGAUGAUGUAUGUGUCUGGCCCGGCGCGGUGGUGCAUGCCUGUAAACCCAGCAGCUUGAGAGGCUGAGGCAGGAGGAUUGCAAGUUCUCAACCAGCCUCAGUAACUUAUAGCAUCCCUAAGCAACUCAGCAAGAACCUGUCUAAAUAAAAUAUAAAAAUGGACUAAGGAUGUGUCUUAGUGGUUGUGACCCUGGGUUUAAUCCCUGGUAUCAAAAAAAUAAAAUGUGUCUGGAAUCUGGCUUAAAAUGUUUUAUAAGACUCUGGCUUUGGGCGAGUUUGACACCCCCAGAGUUGGGAGAACUCAGCCUCUCAUUGGCUCUUUCAUGAACAAGGUGGGUGUGGAAGGAAGCAGACAUGCUCUUUGUGUAGCAUUCUUCUAGACUUUGCCAGAGAAUAUCUCAUUUGAUGCUUCCAAAAAAUUGGAUGUGGUGGGGGCUUUUUUCUGUCCCCGCAACCUGCUCUCACUUUACCUGUGUGGUACUUGGUGAUUAGAGAUGUCAUCCUUGUUAGGGAUAACCAAAGGAAACUCACUCCCAGGGGUAAGGAUAGGAUGCUAUGGUCUUCUGGCAUAGCAGUUUGGAUUAACCUUGGGGGAAGGAUUUAUGGGUGUGGCAACCUGACUUGUUUGUACCUGAUGUUAGCUGUAAUAGGAAGAGUCUGAGGUUAGGCAGAUGGUGAUCCAGCAAGUAUUCAAAGUCCUUUUUUUGUUGGGGGUACCAGGGGUUGAACUCAAGGGCACUCGACCACUGAGCCCCAUCCCCAGCCUUAUUUUUAUUUUACUUAGAGACAGGGUCUCACUGAGUUGCUCAACACCUUGCUAUUGCCGAGGCUGGCUUUGAACUUAUGAUCCUCCUGCCUCAGCCUCCUUGGUUCCCAGGAGAGCCCAGGUGAUUUUGGACUAGGACUUUGUAAAGUUGAUAUUUCAUUUUUAUACUGAAUUCAUCAAGACCCUAGAAAAUGAAUGUUUCCCAUUUGGUAGUGUUAAACAGUAUAUUAUCCCCUUCAUUUUUGGCAGGGGCAGUGGGUAUGGGGGAUUGAACCCAGAGGUGCUUAACCACUGAGCAUAACUCCAGCCCUUUUUUUUGGUGGUGGUGGGGUACCGGGGACUGAACUCGGGGGCACUUGACUACUGAGCCACAUCCCCAGCCCUAUUUUGUAUUUUAUUUAGAGACAGGGUCUCACUGAGUUGCUUAGUGCCUUGCCAUUGCUGAGGCUGACUUUGAACUCAUGAUCCUCCUAUCUCAACCUCCCGAGCCAUUGGGAUUACAGGCAUGUGCCACCGCCCCUAGCAACUCCAGCCCUUUUUAAUAUUUUAUUUAGAGACAGGGUCUCGCUGAGUUGCUUAGGGUCUUGCUGAAUUGCUGAGGCUGGCUUUGAACUCGCAGUCCUCCUGCAUCAACCUCUGGAGGCACUGGGAUUACAGAUGUGUGCCACUGUGCCCAACAGAUCCCCUUCAUUUUAAAGAAAUUGUUGGCAAAGAUGAGAGUAGAAGGUUUAAUUUUCUCUUGUAUGGAUUUUUUUUUCCUUUUUCAAAAUUGUAAUUAUUAAUGAACAUUACACAAGUUAAUUAAUUUCAGUGUGUUACUUCCAUAUAUCAGGCUUUAAUAAUAUUUACCCUCUUUCUUGCCCUCCUCUCUCUUUCUUUCCCCAUUCUCCCAUUUCUACUGUUUCUCCUUACCCUUCCCUGACCCUGAUGGUUCCUCUUCUACUUUCAUCCAUUUUCCUGCAAAUGAUAGGAUUUUAUUCUUCUUUAUGGCUGAAUAAUACUCCAUUGUGUAUAUGUACCAUUUUUUUAAUUCAUUCAUCUGUUAAUGGGCACAUAGAUGAUUCUAUAUCUUAGCUAUUGUGAAUGGUGCCGUAAUAAACAUGGGUAUGCAUUUCCUCUUUUGAAUGCUGAUAUCAUUUUCUUGAGAUGUAUACCCAGGAGUGGUAUAGCUGGGUCAUAUGAUAGUUCUAAUUUUAAUUUGCCCCCUCUCCCACAAUAGUGGGAAUUGAACCCAGGAGUACUCUACCACUGAGCUAUAUCCCUAACCCUUUUUAUUUUAUUGUGAUAUAGGGUCUUGCUGAGUUGCCAGUCUGGACUCAAAACUUUUGAUCCUGCUGUCUCAGCCAUCAUACCCUGCUCUAUUCCAUCUUGUAUAAAUUUUUAUUUAUAAAAUAAAAUUUUAUUUUAUAAAUUUUAUUUAUAAAAUUUUAUUCAUAAAAUCUCAUUAAAGGACUAAGGAUGCAGCCCAAUGGUAGAUCACUUGCCUAGCAUGUGCAAAGCCCUGGGUUAGAUCCCUAGCACUUAAAACAAAAGAGCAGGGCUGGGGAUGUGGCUCAAGCGGUAGCGCGCUUGCCUGGCAUGCCUGCGGCCCGGGUGCAAUCCUCAGCACCACAUACAAACAAAGAUGUUGUGUCUGCCGAAAACUAAAAAAAUAAAUAUUAAAAAUUCUCUCUCUCUCUCUCUCUCUCUCUUAAAAAAAAAAAAAAAAAAAGAGCAGCAACAAAAUCAAAACCUUUUUUAGUCAUCUUAGUACAAUUUACUCUUGCCUGCUGGAAAAGAUUGUUUGUUUCAGGUGAGUUCUAAAUCAGACAGAGUAAAUCAAUAAACCUCAGUGAAGAGAGGAAGACAUAUCUGGUAUUUCUGGUUCUUAACCUGGCAUGGCAGUGAACAAGGCCACUGGGCUCUAUGUUGUAAGUGCUUGUUAUAUAGUUAGGCUGUCCAAACCCAGCAAGGGCUAGAGCACUCCUCUUUUGUAUUAGGACAGCCCCUGAGGGAGGCCCUGUGCUCCCUGGGGAGGUCAGACAUCUCACCUUGGGUCUCAUAACUGAUUGACAGGUACACCAGGAUUCAUGUUCACAUGCUAAAUACUUCCAAGUAAAUCCUUUACCAGUGAGACUCAAUCUGAGUCCCCAGAUCAGGCCUCUUCAGAAAAUGGUAGAGAUAGAAUCAGGAGGACACAAUUUUAGGUGAGUGAGGAGGUAUCAGGUAGUGACUCAUUCAGAGACUUUGAGCCAAGUCAGAGAGUGGUGGGAGAACUGAUGAUAUAUCUCCCUUGAGCUUUGAUCCUUCUUCCUAAAAAGGUAAUUGUCUUGUGAAAUAGUUCUGUCCUGCAAACAUUUUAGGCGGGAGUUACUGAUAAGGACUGAUCUUAAGACAUUGUUUCAGGCUUCAGCAAGAGAACUGUUUCUGAAUGUUUAUUUGAGGUUAAUUUUACCUUUGGAACAGAAAUCCCAGGAUGGAUUUGAGAUUUAGUUUUUCCUGAAUCUCCAUAGGCCAAGAGUUAAGAGGCAGGGAAGAAAAGAUGGUGGAAACUGAGUUUUGAACUCAUUAGAAAACCUGUCCUAGGCUUGGCUUCCAGCAGUUUGGGGAGGCUGAGGUGGGAGGAUCUCAAGUUCAAAGCCAGUCUCAGUAAAAAAUGAGGCCCAAAGCAACUCACUCUGUCUCUAAAUAAAAUACGAAAUGGGGCUUGGAAUGUGGCUCAGUGGUUAAGCACCCGUGCAUUUUCAACCCCCUGGACCAAAAAGAAAAGCAACCUGCCCUAGGAAAGCAUGAGCUGGGAAGCCUCUGUCAGUUGGUGGCAAGUUCAUAGAGUCAGGAUCAGCUCCUUCUGGGACUUCUUAGUGGGUAGAGAGGAUAACACAGUUAAGGAAUGAGUGGUAAUUUUUGUGUAGAAAGUAGAAUAUUCAUGGGGUGGGUUCUGUUCCAAUAGUACCUUCUUGAUUUGACCUGCCCUCUUGUCAGUUCUUGGGAAUGUUUGUAUUCUUUGACUUUGCUUAUUUCGUAUUUGUUAACUGAACUAAACAGCUGUGAGCACGCCUGGCUGGGAAGUUGGUAAGGAGGGAAGCUAACGCUGUGUAGGCUCUAUAAGUCAGUAGAUGAAGGUGAUUGGAAAGGGUGUAACAUCAGUGCCAAGGUCUCACUCCCUCAGAGAGUCAAGGCAUUUCUUGGUCUAGGUACUUCUCUCAGCAGGCAGCUCCAGAAAGAAGGUUGGGGACUGAGGCUAAAACAUCAGUGCUCUCAAGAGGGUCAGGCUAGAUGUGCUACCUCAGCACCAUCCUGUCCCCCCUCCUUUCUUUGAGACCCUCUGCUUUUCUUCUGUGUUCAUUGCUGAGUUUUGUCUUUUUCUCCCAUAUGCUUCUCUUCUAAGGCAGUCAGCAAACUGGCGCAGAGGUUGGUAAGACAGCUGGCAGCAUCAGGAAUAUGAGCCUCUUGGUACCCAGCUGCCAUGUGUUACCAGCAGUUGUGGUUGUUAAAGGUCCCAGUUGGAGCAUGAAAUUAGGCAGGCAUUAUCUGCCCUCUUCAUCUGACCCUGUAUCUCCUGAGAGAAUUGUCUUCUUUCCCUGUCCUGGGUCUUUUCUGCAUUUCUGGGGUUUUGACUUUGAUUUGAACAGACAAGCCUCCUUUAUACUUAAUGUCUUUGUCCUUGGCCCAACACAGGUUUUCCUUCUGCCUUCGCCUCCCUGAUCCUUCUCUUUGCCCAUUCUGUGACUUACCUCUGACUGAUCUGCCCAAUUUGCUGGCCAGCAUGUUGGCAGUAAUUCAUUACCCUGCCACCCACUCACCCCUCUACCACCUUCCUGCUUUUCUGAUUCCCCAACAGGGUCUUUCUUUUCUAGUUAUUUCUCACUUUAGUAUAAGAGGUGGUUAAGCAUGGAAUGUGGAAUUAGACUGCCAGGGUUUGAAUCUUGAUUAUUCUUCUAAUCUCUUAUGUAACCUGGAGCUAUGUGCUUUAACUUUUCUGCCUAUCUAAUCAUACGUAAUACCUAAUUCAAAGGGUUGUUAUGUGUGUCAAGUGUAAUAAUGUAUAUAAUACAAGACAAAUGAAUAUUAGCUAUUGUUAUUAUUCUUGAUGCCAUCCUUGAUACCUGCCUGCUUUAUACCUUUUGGAUGAAACCUUAACAGGACAGAACUGAGCAGGCUAAGGGGGCUUCUAACGAGAUCCCUGAAGGUAUUCCCCCAGGAGUUUGGGCUCACUGGAAAGACUAGUGAGAAAAGCUCAAAGAGGAAAGGAAACAACGACUCUCACAGAAAAAACUGUCCUACCAUCCCUGCCCCUGGGGUGGGGAUAUUGAAGGACCAUUCUUCUUUCAAUACUUGACAAAAGCAAAGGGUAUCCAGAAAGAAGAAGAUAGACAUUUAGUAAGAAAAUUCAGUUUGGGUUUUGUUGUUUCUCUGGAGCCCUGAUCCCUUAGUGCUUUCUUUGUGGCAUCUGUCUGGGUCAUAUCGGGUCUAAAAACCUCUGGUUGCUUUAUGGCUCAUUCAACUAAACCCAUUCUGCAAUGACCUUUUACUGGCAGAUGAAAAGCAGAUGGCCUCCACCUGGUUUAGCUCAGCUUGUGGCAUCAAACAGUAGGAUACUUCCUGAGAAGGGAGGAAGGGGGAAAGGGAUAGGACUAGGAGCUUUGUCCAGCAGGCUUUCCAGUCUUAUUAGAAAAUUGCUCGGUGCUUUCCCCCCACCCUGUGUGACAGACCAAGGGGUAGAUAUGGGAUAAAGGAGCCCUGUGGAAGGAAAAUAUCCAGAAUGGAAAGUGUUUCAUCGCUACUUGGUGUCUCACUGGUGUUAAGUUUAAGAGACUAGAGGGCAAGAGGUGCACUGUGAGUGGGCUUAGGAACCUUUUCCUCAACUUACUAAUUGCUCACAAACUUUGCUUUUUGCAGUGUUACCGAGACUUGGCUCUGGUGAGUCGUGAUGGCAUGAAUAUUGUCCUGAAUAAAAUCAACCAAAUACUUAUGGAGAAGUACCUAAAGUUGCAGGAUACGUGCCGAACUCAGGUAAGAAUAGGAAGAAAAGAAGGAUCCAGGGAUUGGGAGCGUUAUCUCAGUGGUAAAGUGUGUGCCUAGUAUGCACAAGGCCCUGGGUUCUGUCCCUAACAUCAAAAAAAAAAAAAAAAAAAGAAAAGAAAAGAAUAAGAAGGGAUCCAGCUCAAAGACAUUAACCGUGGGGGGGGGGAUCCCUUACAGAGAAGGGAAGGAGGAAUUGAGGCAACAUACCCCUAUCAUUGUGUACCUAAUUUGUAAUAUGGUUAAGUUAGCUCCUUUCUCAAACUCACAGUUCAUGCUCUUCAUAUUUUCUCCUCUCUCUAGUUGGUGUGGUUGGUACGGGAACUAGUGAAGAGUGGGGUUCUGGGAGCUGAUGGUGUUUGCAUGACAUUUAUGAAGCAGAUUGCAGGUGAGUUGAAAGUCAAGAGCAUAAAGAAGAAAGAGAGCGCUGGGGUUGUGGCUCAGUGGUGGAGCGCUUGCCUCCCACUGUGAGGCAUGGGGAUCAAUCCUCUACACCACAUAAAAAUAAAUACAUAAAUAAAGGUAUUGCAUCCAUCUACAACUAAAAAUAUUUAAGAAGAAAGGAGAGGAGCCCAGAGACUAAGGCUAGGCAAUAAAGACUGAUUAAGCACCCAUGGAACCUGAUUCCUGGGUUACUUAGGCUCUUUCUUUCUGAUACAGACAUCUGGCUUCAUGUGUUUCAGGAAGAAAUUGGUUGAAAAAUCACAGGAGCCCUUUUGAAGCAAUAAGUUUUGCUUUGUUUUCUUUCCUGUCAAAUCUAAAGCCUAGCAGAAUAUUUGACCUAUUUUAGCCAGGCUUCAUUCUGGGUUUUUGUGGCAUAUUGAAUCAGGAAGGAAUGAGGAGAAAAUUAAGGGGAAAUAAUUCAUCCCUGUAUUAUUAUGCUUUCAGAAAUCUAGACAUCUUCCCUGGCUCCACCCCUGUGUUCUGAACAAUUGCUCCCUAAUAAUUAUGACAACUGAUUGGGACCAGUCUGAGGGACAAAGGAUGUUACAGAACAGACCCUGACAUUUAGGUUUUAUUAUCAUCUUGGCAUUGGUGACAUCUGUCUGAGCCAAUGAAUAUGGAAGAGGCCUGCCUGAGCUUCCUCUUUUACUCUCAAGAUUGUGUGUGUGUUUAAAAAACUACCCUCCUGUUUUACCUCAUUAUUUGCCCAUUGCUGCUUGGCUUUCUCUUUAGGAUUUUAUAUAACACUGAUGCCCCUGUUUGGUGUGUUUGAACCAUUGUCUGUGUGAUAUGUGACUAUGUGAACAUCGAAAUGUUUAAUUGGGACUUAGUGCAAGGUAUAGCAGUGUUGUGCUGGUUAUUUUUAUCCUUUCUCCAGCACUUUCUUCCCUAUUUGGGCCUCCUAGCUCCCACUUCUUAUCCCAAGACUUUGGUCUGGCAUUGCUGCAUAUUAAUUCUGCCCCAGGAAGUUCCAUAGCAAGAACUGAAGACUGAUACCUGGAAACAAGAAACCCUUGGCUUGUUGUGAGCUUGAGCACAGGGAACAUCCAGAUGCUGGAUUGCAGCUGUUGCCAGCCGCCCGCACCUCUCAGGCCCUUUUUGAGACAUCAUCCUUUCUUUCCAACCAUGGGAUUCCUUUUCAAGGGCCAGCGUGUUCCCACUCAAGUUUCCAGUCUGGAAAAGCAACAGCUCUGGUUUCUAGAAAAAUUCAGAACAGGGGCUGGGGUUGUGGCUCAGUGGUAGAGCGCUUGCCUAGCAUGCAUGAGGCACUGGGUUCGAUCCUCAGCACCACAUAAAAAUAAAAUAAUGUGUCCACCUAAAACUAAAAAAAUACAUAAAUAAAUAAAUAUUAAAAAGAAAAGAAAAGAAAAAUUCAGAACAUUCCCUUCUCUUCUUCUCUCUGGAGGCAAAGGGAAUUUUUUAAAAAUCGGAUGGAAAAGAAGACAAUUUAUCCUAACACUCAGGAUAACAGUGAUGGGAUAACAGGGUAGACCAGCAAGAUGAGUGAAGAGAUGGAUUAGCUAAGUUGCUAAUUAGAGCUACUGUAUUCUGAUUCUUCCCCCCCUACUUUUUUUUUUCCAUCAGGUGGAGAUGUUACAGCCAAAAAUAUCUGGUUGGCAGAAAGUGUUCUGGAUAUCCUCACGGAGCAGAGGUAGAGUCCAUCAUGAAGGGUGGGGCAAGAACCAGAUAUGACCAGAAAGCAUAUGAGUGUGGGAAGUGGAGAAGAGAGGACUGUGUGACCCUAAAACACCUUAGGUUAGAGAGGAGGAAGCCAGCAUCAAGUGGGGGAGGCGACCAUAUUGAUGGCAAGUAAAGAAAUUAAUGCUGUAGUGUGGCCCAAGGGAUAAAGGAGUGGGAAAGAAGGGCCUGUUUUCUGAGCCCAGGAAAAACCAGUUUCAUCUGAUAAGGGUUUAUUUUUGAUCCAGACCUCCUUGGAAUGUUUAUCUUUGGAGGGGAGGUAGGGGAAGAAUGAGCUCAACAGAGCGGGACCAGCCAGCCACCCAGGCUUGGCAGGUACCUCUUCUCCCUUCCAAACUUCUCAAACACACUGUUUUUGAAGUGGUUCGGAUGGCAGCAGGGGUAGGGAGGUAAUAGAGAUCCUGAUCCCCCAUAGAGGGCUUGGAGCCUCCAGUGGUAGAGAGAGGCAUAUAGGGCUUUCUGGCUGAUUCUUUCCCUUCCUCAUCAAACUGAAGGACCAGAAAUUUUAUGAGGACUAUUCCAUUUCUGAAUUUGUUUGGGAAUGAGGUCUUCCUCCUUGGUCCUGUGGCCCCAGUCUUCAUUUUGCUUAUUUUUUGAGUCUCUCUGGAUAAGAACACCAUAGUAGUAAGAUUCUUGAGAGUGCUGAUAGUGUUCAUAUUGUCCACAUUUUCAAAGAAUGGACCUCCUCCCAUGAUUCACACUUGUGCUGCCUACUGCCAAGCCUGAGAGCCACGCAGGCCAGCUGUGCAGUGCCACCUAGUGCCCUGGCACAGAUGUGCAGCUGCACUGAAUCUGGCAACAUGACACCAGCAUGGGCAAGAUCUUAACAGUUUCUUGCCAGGUUUCUGCUUCUCUUAGGUAUCAUAUUUCUUUUUUUGGGGGGGGCGGGGGGGCGGGGAUUACCAGGAAUUGAACUCUGGGGCAUGCUACCACUGAGCCACAUCUCCAGCCCUAUUUUGUAUUUUAUUUAGAGACAGGGUCUCACUGAGUUGCUUAGCGCCUUGUCAUUGCUGAGGCUGACUUUGAACUCACGAUCCUCCUAUCUCAGCUUCUGGUGCUGCUGGGAUUACAGGUGUGUGCCACUGCACCCAGCAAAUAUCAGUAUUUAUUUAAUGUCCUGGAUUAGAAGGCCUCACUUGCAUCCCUCUUUCUCUUUCUUAUGCCAUUCUACAAUUCAGAUAUGUUUGUCAUUCCUGUUAAUAAUGUUCUUGAAAAGCUAUUUUUCUCAUUUUAUUCCUGGUUCCAGAUGUAUCCUGUCCCCUUGCCUUAAAGCUGAAUUUCCCAUAUAGGUGUCAAAUAACAGCUUGGUAACUUUCCCUACUCUCCAGAAACUCACAUUUUUUGGUAAAAGAUAGUACUUCAAAGUUUAAACUGUCUUCCUCCAUACCUUCCUUCUCACACCCUUCCAAAUGUUUUCAGGCUGUAGGGGUAAAAGGUAACUGGGAGCAGGGCUCAUGUCCUUGGCUAGUGUUUUCUUUCUUUCUUUCUUUUUUUUUUUUUCUUGAAAGGAAAAUGCCAGAUUCUUUUAAUUAGGUGACUUGAGCACAUUUCCAGAAUCAGGAUGUUGCCUGGUUGGAUUAAUUAAACUCACUGUCGUCUUCCUCCAGUUGGCCUUCCAGCAGGGAUGCCAAAGCCAUUACAAACUCUUUGCUUGGCGGAUACUACUCCACAGAAGUAGCACAAGAAACAGCAUUGGGGAUUUUAGGAAUCUUCCCACUGUGUUUUUCUCUCUACCCCUUUUAAAGUAGCAGGGAACAAGUAAUUCUUUCAUUACUCUGUUUUCCCCAGGGAAAUUCUAAAACUCCUGGGAAAAUGAGCUUUGCCAUCCAGAAUCAGGUUCUUUUUUCAGAUUAUGAUUUAGAGCAGGUGACUCAUUGUCUGAGGGUGGGGUCAGCAGCUAGCGAGUCAGGGAAAGGUUUGUGGUGUGGUAAACUGUUAGUGACAAGUGUGACAGAAGGGCUAGCAUGGUGUGUUCUGAGAACUCCUGGUCCUGAAAAGGGUCUUGGAAAUCCCCAGAGAUCCUGGCACCACACUUAAGAACUAUUGACUUAACAGAACUUUCCCCACAGAUGAACUGGGAGAAACGGUUCAUCUCUGACCCUAGUACCUCACACAUUGCUUGGCACAUGAUAGGCACUCAGUAAAUGUUUGAAUAGGUGAGUCAAUGUACAAAGUUAUUUUAUUGGAAGCUACAUAAGUGGUUACAUGGUAAGAAAAGAUUUUUUUCCUUUUGGCAUCUAUUUUUAUUGGUUGCCAAAUAGAGAAAAUUAGGAAGUUGUCCUUCUCUUAGCUAGUUGAUAGUUUUGAGAUAACAGCCUAAGCAAGCAAGCAGAAAAACAAAGAACCUCCUCCCAGUGUGUGAGCAUCAAACAUUAUUGAGUUGCUGGAGCCGAGUUUAAGCGGGUGAUUGGGAGUGUGCGUAGGUCUACGACAGAGUACAGGUGCAGUGUCUUUCCCUCCUGCAGGGAGUGGGUACUGAAGAGCAGCAUCCUCAUUGCCAUGGCUGUUUACACAUAUCUCCGUCUCAUCGUUGACCACCAUGGGACUGCCCAGCUCCAGGCCCUGCGGCAGAAGGAGGUGGACUUCUGCAUCUCGCUGCUUCGGGAACGGGUGAGGAAGUAGGAUAAGAUCAGUAUGGGGAAAUGAGACCCAGGAUGGGAUGCCCCUAUAGGUUUCAUGCACCAGGACUGGAGAUGCCUUUUCAGAUGUGGAAGUGGUUUAAAAUCUAGCAUUUUUCAUUGUCCUUAGAUAAGAGUAGAAUCUAAGGAGGGAGAAUCAGUGUGGAAUAACCCUUGUUCCUAGAAAUGCUAGCAUCCUGGGGAUUUUCCUGGUCACUGUCAAGGACACUGUUGUACAACAGACCCAAGCUGUUCUUUUGUAUACCCACUUAAGCUGUUCUGUCAUCCUACCACCUACCCAAGUAAUUGCCAUGGUCAUGUGGGAUUAUGAAUUGUCUGCUAUCAGAUCUCCCAAGAGAGAGAUCCUAGAAUUAAGUUAAUAUAAUGGCUGUUGACUACAUUUGGUAAUUUAUUAAUUAAUGUCAGAUUUUAAAGUUCCUUAAUUACCUUAGCCACAUGUUGCUAAUGGUAUUGUUUGGAAUGCAUAAAUGUAGAUCAUUUCCAUUACCACAAGAGGUUCUGUUGUACAAGAAUUUUGGGGUAGGGUGUCUGGGGCUCCACUUGCCUGUCCAAUAGUUUUGGAAUCUUAGUCUCUUUGAACUAAAUCAGAACAGUUCUGGGUGGAGAAGGGAAUAGAUUAGUGUGAAAGUCAGCAGGGCUUCAGCACUUCCCAGUAACUUUUCUUCCUUGGUAUCAGUCCCUAGCUUCCAGCUCUCUUCCAUAAACAGCUAGGAACCAAUCCCUUGGUUCUAGAAGAAAUCACAUAGUCCCUUCAACCUUCUUUCCUUCCCUCCCUGGAACAUGCUGUUCUUUUGUCCUCUCUCCAGAAGGUAAACAGUCUGUGUUUUUAUUCUCUUUCCUGUCCCCACUUCCUUCACCUCCUCACAUCAAGUUCAUGGAAUGUUUGAUGAUUGGCCGGGACCUUGUAAGACUACUUCAGAAUGUUGCUAGGAUACCAGAAUUUGAACUGCUUUGGAAAGAUAUUAUCCAUAACCCUCAGGCCUUGAGUCCUCAAUUUACAGGUAAGUAAGCCCUUGGGCAUCUUGUCCUUGAGAGAUGGCAAGUUAGCCUAUAUGUCCUAUAUUCAGAGGGCAGAGGUUGGUGGGUAGGACUGCCUUUGGCAAUCAGAGAAGGUUUGGGGCAGGGCAAGCUUUGCCAAGUACAGCUAGAUAUUGGAACCGCAGAAGUACUGAACAAUUCAUGUGAUUCCUAGACAGUCCCUGCUUGGCAGACUCCAGCUAUCAUUACUCCUAAGAAAAUAGUGAGAACUAUGAUCUUCUUCCUCUCCUGGAAGCUCCUUGGCUCAGGAGGUGAGCUGAUGACCAGUCUUUGACUUCAAUGAGUCUGGCAGGGAGUCAGAGGUCAACUCCAUGAGACUGAGUCAGCAGAGGAGCUAGAAUUAGUCCUGUAAGAGAUGGCCCCUCCCUGGAAGCAGUCUGGCCUCUUAAUUCCAAGGAUCCAACUUGGCCUAAAUCAUCUUUAGGGGAGAGAGUCUCUGUGUUCUUUCCCCUGACAUGGUCCUUUCAAUGUCCCUUUCCCUUUCCCAGAGCAAUAACUCUACAGCUUUGCUCCCUGGCCCACCUUUAAAGCACAUUCAUACAUAUGCACGCACACCUACAGAGCACUCUUCUAGAAUCUGAGAAGUGGGGAAAGUGCUGGUGCUACCUGAUAAUGCACUAUUCUUACAUCAAACAUGUCAGGUUACUUUGAGUGUCACCUCUAUGUUAGGCAUAUGUAUGUAAUUUAAACCUUAGAACAGCUCUAGAUUAUGGGUAUUUUAUUUCCCUUACAGUUGAAGAAACUGAGGUUCAAAAAAAGAAACGGAGCUGGACAUGGUAGCACACACCUAUAAUCCCAAUGACUCAGAAGGCUGAAGUAGGAGUAUUGAAAGUUCGAGGCCAGCCUGGGCAACCUAGCAAGACCCUGUCUCAAAAAUAAAAGGGCUUGGGCUGGGGAUAUAGCUCAGUUGGUACAGUGCUUAUCUCAGUUGGCCAGUGCAUGCACAAGGCCCUGGGUUCAAUCUCUAACACCACAAAAAAUAAAAAUGAUAGAUAGAUAGAUAGAUAGAUAGAUAGAUAGGCUGGGGAUGUGACUCAGUGGUAGAGCACCCUUAGGUUCUCUACCCCAGUAUCACCCCCUAAAAAAAAGAGAGAAAAUAAAAGAAACUGAGGUUCAAACAGGUUAAUUUGCUCAAGUGUAAGUGACAGGCAGGAUUUGGAUCAGGUUAUCCUGACUCCAGAGCUUAUGGUUAUGCUGCCACAUCACAUCCAUGCAAGGAUCAGGAGCAGGAAGACAAGCUAGAGUUUCCAUAUUUUUCUCUUAAUUUUCCCACCUGUUGCCAACUGCAAUAAUGGGGGUAGGGGACUCUGUAAAACCAGCAGAGGAAGGGAAUUAAUGUAACAGGAAUGUAGUUGGUUGGACAAAACGCACAGAUGCUAGUUAGAAUCCCCAUCUGUGUUGAUGCUUGGAAUUGCCUCAUGAACAAGACCACUGGCCAUCAGUACCUGGCCCAGUUUUCCCAUCUGUCUGCCAUUCCGUAGUUCUCAGGUUUCUCUCUUUUUUCUUCCCUAAAACACUUGGCUCAGGUAUCCUACAGCUUCUUCAGUCAAGAACAUCCCGAAAAUUCCUAGCAUGUCGUCUAACCCCAGAUAUGGAAACUAAGCUCCUCUUCAUGACAUCCCGGGUGAGCUCACCUAUUGCAACAGGAAGAGGAAUUGCAGGUGCUAGUUGGGCUUCUUGCUUCUGUCUGCAGAUCUGUUACUCUGAGUACUGAUCCACAGAGUGGUAGCUAAGUGGUAGCCCUUAUCCACAUGGCUACUGGCUUCUUUCCUUUGUUAAUUCUGUGCCUAUACACUGUGCUCAGUGCUAAGAAUUGGAGAUAAGGGUUGAAUAAGAGAGAUGCAGUUCUAGCUCUGUGAAGCUUUCAGUCUAUCUAAAGUAGCCAUUAUGCAGAGAAUUAUAUGCAAGUGUGAACUGUGCUGUUAAAGUUUAGAGUGAGAAUGUUUAUUCUGUCCAUGGUUCUUCCAGGGAAACUGUGAGCUUUCAAGGUAGCUAUGACCUUUUAGUGUCCAAAUAUGGCUGAACGGUGGUAAAACUGCUUGAGGAACAUGUUAUAGAUGGAAUCUGAUCAAAUAAAGAACCACUGCCCUAGCCAACUUUUGGAUCCCCAAGUUAUCUAGGAGAACUGUCCAGACCUUUGGUGUCCUUUGUAAUAGCCACUAGCCAUAUUUUGCAAUUUAAAUAUAAGUUAGUUAAAAUUUAGUAUCUUGUUUGCAGAAGCUACAUCUGAACUGCUCAUGGCUACCAUCAUUGCAGGAAGUUUUGUUGUGAAGUGUGGUCUGAGUGUAACUUUUUGUUUACCUUUCUGCCAUUUGGAUUUCUUCUGACAGGGGAAUAGAGGAGGAAAACAGAUCCUCCUUUUUUGCUAUUUAUAACCAUUUGGGUCUAUUUAGAAGUUUUAGAGGGCUGGGGAUGUGGCUCAAGCGGUAGCGCGCUCGCCUGGCAUGCGUGCGGCCUGGGUUUGAUCCUCAGCACCACAUACAAACAAAGAUGUUGUGUCCACCGAUAACUAAAAAAAAAAAAAAAACACUAUCGUGAUUCCCUGAAGAAAAAAAAAAGAAGUUUUAGAGUCUGUGCCUUGGAUAAUGGUCCUGUUAGGUUGCUGGAUGGCAGGAAGCACUCAGUGCUGAAUGGUGAACAGGUUUAGUUCUUGCUUUCAAGGAACAUUCCUUGUUGUCCAGUAGGCUCCAGAAAAUAAGAAAAGAUUAUACUUAGGACCAAAUCUUCAGUGACCAGUGUUGGAGCAAGGAGCCAAAAAUAGACCACAGUUGUUGGGGGUAAAUGUGGCAUCAGGUCAGGGCUGAGAAUGAAUGCACCCAUGACAUGCAAGGCAGCCUAGAAAGACUUAGAGUACUUUUUAAAAUCAUGAAAUAACCCCAAAAGGAAAAGACACUCAAGAGACAGUGUGAGCUAAUGAGUAAGUUGUAGGAAGAAAUGAAGGUCUAGGUCAAACAUGGAGUUUAACAGUUCUCAUAGAUUCCACCCUGCUUUCCAAGUUUCUUUUUCUAACUUUUCCCUCCUCAGGUGCGGUUUGGUCAACAAAAGAGAUACCAAGACUGGUUCCAGCGCCAGUAUUUGUCAACCCCAGACAGUCAGUCUCUACGCUGUGACCUCAUUCGCUACAUCUGUGGGGUAGUCCACCCUUCUAAUGAAGUGCUGAGUUCUGACAUCUUGCCUCGAUGGGCCAUCAUUGGUUGGCUCCUGACAACAUGCACGGUAGGGGGCUGGGCCACAGGGUAGAGGAUGUUGGACAGUGAAGGAUGCCUUCUGUAUUUCCAUGCUUCUUGCUGGACUCUCCAGGGCCAUUUGAUCCAUAAGGACCCUUCUUUCACUGUUGUCUUUCAAAUGUUUCAGGCUCUUAUUCCAUUACCUUUGUGUCUCAAGAAAUUUUGUUAGACUCAUUAUUUCUCAUCUGGGUUGGGGAUUCAAUAGGUCCAUCUAUCUCUUUAUUACUAACCCCCAAAAUCCUGGAUUUCUGAAGCAUUCUUGCCUUUUUCCUUUGAGCUUCUGGAUACCACAAAGUUAGGGCUUGCAUUCUUUAGACCCUCACCUCCGUGCUUCUGGCAUCAGCUUCGGAUAAAGGAGCCAUUUCCUUCCCAGCAUUUUCCUUCCUGUGUUGAGAUGGAAAACCAUCCAUUCUCUGACAUCUUCUGACAGGGUUUCCCCUUUCUUCUCUGAUUAGAUUCUUAGAAUGUACUGAUUCAAAUAUGACAAAAGACUAUUCCUAGAGGGCCUUUUCUUCAGAAAUGUGGGUGGGGGAGCCCACCAAGGGCAGCCCAGGGGCCAUCUGAGUAUUGCCUUGACUCAGAAGUAAUGAGUGAACUCCUAAGUCCAAGUGUUGUCCCUUAGGGGAGGAGAGGUAUAUCCUCCUGGGUGUGUGAGGAUCCCAGCCAGUCCCAUCCCCUUGGUUGGUAAGACCACAGGGUUCUCGUGCUCACAUGUAACACAGACGCAGAUCGUGGGGCUCCACCACGUUUCACUGGGACCUGAAUUUCACAGGUGCAGCAACAAAGUAAGCCCUGGAAUCUGCCCUGGGCUUCAGAAGGGAAGGGAGACGGUUGAUGAAAUUAGCCCUUUAUUUUUGUCCUUCUCUUUUCCAGUCCAAUGUUGCUGCCUCUAAUGCCAAGCUGGCUUUGUUUUACGACUGGCUGUUCUUUAGUCCAGACAAGGAUAGCAUUAUGAACAUAGGUAUGUGCCCCAGACCAGGCAGCACCACCUUCCCCUUCCUCAGGCCCCACUGCCUCGUCCUGGUGACAGCAGUCAUAAAUCUGAGGGCAGCACGGAGUGGGAGCAGUUUAUCUGGGAGCAGUUCCGUUGUUCCUCAUCAGUUCUUCCUUGACAGAAAAUUGCUUUGGUGAGGCUAAGCAAUCACCACCCUCUCCCUUCUCCCCAUAGCCUCAUCCCUGGGCUCUGGGUGGGAAGGGCCUGGGCAGAGGAAAAGAUGUGCCAUGUCCUGCUUUUCCUUUCCUCCUACCUCCAUUCUUCAAGCUGUAUGCUGAAGACAAGAAGGAAGAAUGAGGGCUAAGAACAGUUGGGGGACUGGUUGCUCUCAGAGCUGCCCGAUAGGAAUGAGCACUCCCCAGAGCCUUUUAGUAUAUGUUGACAUCCCAUUUUGUGGAUGUGGAAACAGAAAGUCUGAUGUGGGGGGGGGGGAAUCCUUUAAUUCCACAUUCUCUAGAGCCAGCCAUCCUGGUAAUGCAUCAUUCUAUGAAGCCCCAUCCAGCCAUCACUGCCACACUCCUGGACUUCAUGUGCCGUGUAAGUGCCAGAGCCCCCUCUCCUCCCAGUUCCUGGAUGCAGAGUUACAUCUGUAUCCAUAGUCUUUCACUGAUGGAGUCUUUCCUGGCCCCCUUGUCCGGAGCAGAAGUGGUCAACUCAGUGAAUGCUUCCCUUCAUAUUACCACUGCUCCAGUUGGAUCAUCCCUUGUUUCCAUGAUUUUCUCAAUUGUAGGAUGACAACUCAAGGUAGAAUCUAGUCUCCUUGAGAAGCAGCUGGGUCCAGUAAGUGUCCCAACUGCCUAGCCUGAAAUAGUCAGAUAUGCUCCAUUCCUCUGCAGACAUACUACCCCAGUGUUCCCUGACCACAACCAAAGCAGUUUCUUAGAUCUAGUUCAGCAGAACACUCUAUUCAGAGUCCUGUGCCAUUCUUCCCUCCUCUUCUUUCCUUCCAGAUCAUUCCCAACUUCUAUCCACCUUUGGAAGGCCAUGUGCGGCAGGGUGUCUUUUCUUCCCUCAACCACAUUGUGGAGAAACGGGUCUUGGCGUAAGGAGUUUAUAUGUAGGGAGGUGGAGGUAUGGGGUUCUCCCAUUUUUCCUUAGGUCCAGCCCCCUCUGGGUCAGGCACAUCCAGAUAUUGUCAUAACACUGCUGACCCUUUCCCCUGGCAGGUAUAACAAGUACUGGAUUCCUCUCCCCCACCCCCAAACUACGGGGCAUAUGUCCUGUUGAGUCUCAAAGGAAUUUCUCUCCUGCCAUUAUAUUACAAAGGGCUUCAAAUGCCUUCCUUUCCCGUUACCCCUUGGAAGGAUCUGAGGAUGUCCCAGUCUUACUGAUUGGACCUAGGUCUCACUCUUUAUCUCCAUGUUGAGUUAGAAAUGAGGAACUCUGAUGUUGACCUUCAUUUAUGUUUCCCAUUAGACACUUGGCUCCCCUGUUUGACAACCCUAAAUUGGAUAAAGAGCUGCGGGCCAUGCUGAGAGAGAAAUUUCCUGAAUUCUGCAGCUCACCCUCCCCACCUGUGGAAGGUAUGGUGGUAGUCCUGCUGUCAUCUGUGUUAGAAGAAGGAUGAAGCCAUCCAAGGUGUAGACUAGAGCCCUGUUUGUGAUGUUGUCCCUGGGGAGUUCUCCUCUUAACACUGUCUCAGUGUUCUCUUUUUAUUAUUGCUGUGUUGUCUCCCUUGGUUCUCUCUCGCUCCAUCAAAUCUUACUUGAUUUUUCCCUCAUCUGUCUUGAUCUCUUAACCCUUUUUUUCUCUCCAGUAAGUAGAGGCCCUCAUGGAAUGUUUGUUGUCUCACUGUACCCAUCCCUUCUCUCUUCCCAUCCCUCCACCCUUGCCCCUGAUGAGAGGUUGCACAGUAGGUCCCAGUCUGCCAUUUCCCUGCCAGCCAUCCCCCACAUACUUUUUGUCUUGGGAUCAGGGCUUAAGCCAAGCACUACUUCCGAAUUUGGUUUUAAAUUAAAGAGCACAAGAGAUUGUCUCCACUCAUCCUGAGCUAAGGAUAGAAAAUUCAUGUCCUGUGUUGUUCCUUUUCCUGGCAGCAUCUCCCUACAGGUCAUAGAAGGUUGUAAGGACAAGAGAUUUGUCCUUGCAGGUUCAGUGUUCCAUUUAGCACAUAAACUCUGUAUUCUCCCACUUACACUCCAGCCUCCCCUUCCCAGAAGCUUGGGACAUACUGGAGGCCAUCAGAUACCUUUCUCUCUUUACUCCCAAGUCAAAAUUGAAGAGCCAGUUUCCAUGGAGAUGGAUAACCAUCUGUCAGAUAAGGAUGAGAGUUGCUACGACAAUGCUGAGGCAGCCUUCAGUGAUGACGAGGAGGAUCUCAACAGCAAAGGUGAGGAUGGCAUAGGAGGUGGCUCAGGAUUGUGACAGCCCUGGGAGGGUCAUUUCCCAGGAGCAGCCUGUCUGCAGUCUUUCUGUCCUAUCAUCUCUGCCCGCCUGAGUCCGUCUUGGUAACAGCAUCACUGAAUGAGACUCAGGGUGUAAGCCCUGCAUUUAACUUACGAGGUAAAAUAAGUGGUUCCUGCCCACUUGUGGGUAAGAGCUAGGACAUGUAUACAAUCAUGUAUUUGCACAGCAUUGAGUAAACAGUCCCCAAGGACUGUGGGGAAGGAACAGAUGAUUUAAGGGGACUCUGUGUUGCUGGCAUUUGAGCAAAUUGACUUCUAAAUCUCUCCCUUCAGGAAAGAAGAGAGAGUUUCGUUUCCACCCUAUCAAGGAGACAGUUGUGGAGGAGCCAGUUGAUAUCACCCCUUACCUCGACCAGUUGGAUGAGUCCCUAAGGGACAAAGUACUCCAGCUACAGAAGGGGAGGUAGGUACAGACCCUUCUCCUCACCUUGUGGGGGGAUGUCCAGUCCAUGCUUUCUCCCUUGUGCCUAGUAUGUGUGGCAGAAUGAUGUGGCUUGGAGAGCAAUGUGAUGGGGUAUAUGGGAAGGUAGCUGAAGCUUCAUGAGUGAUGUCUUCCGCAGCUUAUGUUGGGGAGUACGAGUACAGGCAGGGAGUGGAUUGGCCUGUACUCUAACACCUUGGUUCCUACUCCCUAGGUUCUGAGGAUAAUAGCCUCAGAGAACACAUGUAAGAUGGAUGGGGAUUUCCCUAUUCUUUGGGCCUCUGCCCAGAAAACAGCAAAUUCUGCCCUAAUUCUGCCUCCCUCACCCAAGCUGGGAUUUUACAUAGAGCUCCUUUGUUUUGUCUCUGUUCGUUUGAGUGCUCGUGUAUAGUGUUCUCUGUGUCCUGCCUUCUGCUAUCAUUUAUGUCCUUGGGAUUUCCUCUCACUUCUGUACUGCAGUGAUACAGAGGCCCAGUGUGAGGUCAUGCAGGAAAUUGUGGACCAGGUCCUGGAGGUGAGGAGGAACCUACGCCCUUAGGGAGGAAGGAGCCCAGCUGUCCAAGUUAGAGCUCCCCAUGCAGGUGUCUCCCUGGGAAUGUGACUCCCUCCUUCCUCUCCCCUAGAAGAGUCCCUCUCAGGGGGGCUGGAGAAUUGCUGAUCCUGUAGGUGGAAGCAGAUAAGCUCAGAGGCUCUGGGGCAGUGGGGACAGUGGGCACAGUGAGGUUUGGACCUGGGUCAUGAUAUCCUUUCCUUCCCUUAUCUACCACCCAGGAAGACUUCGACUCAGAACAGCUGUCUGUCCUUGCUUCCUGUCUACAAGAGCUCUUCAAGGCCCACUUCCGAGGAGAGGUGCUGCCUGAGGAGGUCACAGAGGAGUAAGGCUCAUCUUCCCUGAUGCCCUUGGCCUCAGGAGCCAGAAAUAUGUUCUUACAACCCAAGCCCAAGAGGCACCAUGCUGUAGACUUGAGAAGAAGAAUCUGUUCACUUGGUUUUCUGAUUCCUGAUGUGUACUGAUUGAAAAUGAGGGUUUAUUUUGCCUGCUGGACCCUGUGUGUACUGGAGUUGUAGACUAGUAUCCCUGCCCUGUCCUUCCAGCCCUGCUGCUGGGCCAGUAGCCCCAACCUUUAUUUCUUCAAGUAGAAUUGGAUCCUAGAUUCCCCCUGAAGAGAGGAAUCUCCCUUUCUGUGAUAAUGAUAGCCUCAGACUGUGAUUUCCAGGUUGGGAACUUGUUUUCUCUGCUAUCAAGCUUCUGGAGCCACAGGAAGUUUGCCUUUUGGGUAGGAUAGGAGCAGGCUGGUGUCUGGCCUCUGUGUGGUCCCCCUGUGAUCUGCCUGCAGCUGCCCCUCCUCUUCUGUGGAUUCUCAUGUGUGACCCUUCUUUCGUAGGUCCCUGGAGGAAUCUGUAGGGAAGCCUCUCUACCUGAUAUUUAGGUAAGCACCCAGUGGUAAGAGGAACUGCUCUCCCCUCCAUUCUCCCUACAGCACACAUUUGUCCCUGUCCUGGGUCACAUGGCUCUGUUUCCAGAGAGGAGGAGGUUUGUAGUGGGCAGAGUCUCCCUGGGUAAUGCCUCUCCUUUUCCCCCACCUCCAGGAACCUGUGCCAGAUGCAGGAAGACAACAGCAGCUUCUCUCUGCUCCUGGACCUUCUGUCUGAGCUCUAUCAGAAGCAGCCCAAGAUUGGCUACCACCUGCUCUACUACCUGAGGGCCAGGUGGGUGUCGGGUAGCUACUGGAGAGCCAGCCUUUCUCCCCUGCACAUCGAUUCCCUUGGCUCUCUUCACCAGCACCUUCCAUGCGUUUUGGUGCUAGGGAUAAAUCCAGGGCCUUGUGCAUGCUAAGUGUUUGUUUUUUUAAAUAACAGCUUUAUUGAGGUAUAAAUUUUUGUACCAUAAAUUUACUUUUUUUUUUUAAUUUUUUUUUUUUUAGUUGUAGUUGACACAAUACCUUUAUUUUAUUUAUUUAUUUUUAUGUGGGGCUGAGGGUCGAACCCAGGGCCUCACACAUGCUAGGCAAGUGCUCUACCGCUGAGCCACAACCCCAGCCCCCAAAAUUCACUCUUUUGAAGUGUACCAUUCAGUGUUUUUUAGGGUACUCACAAAGUUAUACAAAUAUCACUGCUGUGUAACUUAAAACACUUCAUCACUCUUAAGGAAACCUCCUUAUUCUCUCUCUCUCUUUUAAGAUGGGUUCUUUGUUGCCUAGGUUAAGCUCAUACUCUUGGAUUCAAGAGAUGCUCCUGCCUCAGCCUCCUAGGGAACUAGGACUAUACACAUAUACUGCCAUACUUAGUCUUUCUCGAUUUUAACCCUGUUGUUUGUCUUUUUAUUGCUGCCCUUUUUUCUCUUUCUUGUUUUUGGUACUGGGGAUUGAACAGGCUCCACACAUGCCAGGUAGGCAGUCUACCACUGAGCUACAUCCACAGCCCUUUUUACUUUGAGGCUGGGUCUCUUUAAAUUGUCCAUCCUGAGCCAAACUUGGUGAUCCUUCUGCCUCAUCCUCCUGAGUAGCUGGGAUUAUAGGCACAUAAUAUUCUAAUAGUAUGGAUACAGGUUGUCUUAUUUUUUUGGUGCUGGGGAUUGAACCGAGGACCUCACGUGUGCUGAGCUCAUGUUCUAGCACUAAGUUUCACCUGCCACCUUCCAAGCCUGUCUUUUCACUUUAUAUAAUUUUUAUAUUUAUUCAUAUAUAUAUUUACUUAUUUAUUUAUUUUAGUUGUAGACGGUCAUAAUACCUUCAUUUUAUUUAUUUAUUUUUAUGUGGUGUUGAGGAUCAAACCCAGUGCCUCACAUGUGCUAAUAAAUAAGCAAGCGCUGUACCACUGAGUUACAACCUUAGCCCCUCUUUUCACUUCUUUGGUGAUAACCCUUUUAAAACACCAAAGUGGCAGGGUGCAGUGGCACACUCCUGUAAUCCCAGAAGCUCAGGAGGCUAAGGCAGGAGGAUUUCAAGUUCAAAGCCAGCCUCAGCAACUUAGUGAGGCCCUAAAUAACUUAGUGAGACUGUGUGUCAACAUUAAAAGAACAGAGUGGGGAGAGCUAGAGAUGUGGCUCAGUGGUUAAGCACCCCUGGGUUUAAUCCCCAGUACCAAAAACAAACAAAAAACACGAAAGUAUUAAAUUUUUGUGAAGUCAAAUCUGUUUUUCCUUUUGUCACUUGUUUUUGGUAUUAUGAAGACUUGCUCCUGUUUUCUUCUAAGUGUUGUGUGGUUUUUGUUCUUAUAGUUAAGCCUAUUAGCCAUUUGAGUGAAGUUUUGUGUAUGGUAUGAGUUGGUACUGUCCUCAUGGAUAGAACCCAGAAGGAAGAGAGCUGUCUCUAACCUGACCCUAGUCUUCCCUCUCCUGUCACUCUGGCAGUGAGUAGCUUCAUUGAUCUCAGAGCCCUGUGUGGGUACUGGGAAGAGAUGGGGAAGCAAGAGUGUCUCCUGAUUCUUAGGUUGUCAAGCCCUUGGGAAAGGCAGGAAGGAAUAAAUAAAUAAAAGGGGACAAAUGAGCACAGGGCAUGUAGGAGAGACGAAGGCAUUCCAGGGUAGGAGCAGACUGCUUCAGAACAUCUCAAAUUCUGGUGCUGUGGUCCGGCUACUGACUUGGGCCCAAUUGGUUUUGCAGCAAAGCUGCCGCUGGGAAGAUGAACUUGUAUGAGUCAUUUGCCCAGGCCACCCAGCUGGGUGACCUGCACACCUGCCUAAUGAUGGACAUGAAGGCCUGCCAGGAGGACGAUGUGCGGCUGCUAUGCCAUCUCACACCCUCCAUCUACACAGAGGUCAGUGUGUCCAUCCUUAUCCAUGGUCGUGGGUAGUACAGGGGGCUCACAAGUGACCACCUACCUUGGUGUACACUCUGAACAUCACAUACAACCCCUUCUGACCUCAGUGGCCACUGCUUCUCACAGUUUAAUUCUCUUCAUUCCAGUGCUUUCUGUUAAAAGUUGAAUAGUUUUUGAGGCUCCGAGAAUUCUUGUCCUUUGGUUUUAACUGUGGUUUAAGUUGGGGUGUGGACCCAUAUACUUGGCUUCCCGGUUUCAGCCCCAUCAUCUGGGCCUAGAACAGGUCCCCCAGUCAGAUGCAUAUUGGUAUGUCCCAAGCUCUCACCCUGUGAUGGCUCACUCUUGGAUGCUCUCUAAUGGUUCCUGAAGACCAGAGCUCCUGAAGCAGAGAUUCACUUUCAUUUCCCCCAGUUCAUUCACGUCUUCUCUCAGAAUUGGGAUGGAGGAGGAGGUAUCAACUCUUGUUCCUCUUGGUAGAAGUUCCUAGGAAGAGGGAAAUGAGGACUCCGGGUGUGAUCUAACCAGAGGAACUAGGAUCUCAGCCAUGCACUAGGGGCAGGGGGUGGGGUAUCACACCCCCUUUUUGUCCUUCCCUCCUAGACUGGACUCUCCCUCCCCCACCCACCCCUCACAAGCCCCUAGAUACACUCACUCUGUACCUUCUCUUUGUCUUGAGAUGCUGAUGAAUUGGAUUUCUUUGCUGCCAGGAGUAUAAAUAUUUUUCUGUUGCCACUCCCACCUAGAGCCAGCUGGCAUGUCCGGUUAGCUCUGGUUUUUCCCACUUCUCUCCUUGUACACACCCCUUGUGGUGUGCACACACAGAUAACAAACGUGGCAUUUGAAGGGUUGUGUUCCCAGCUUCAUAGCUGUUGGAUCUUGUAGGGAUUUAUGUUAGGAUUCAUGUCUGGCCAGCUUAGCCAGACCUUGAGCCUGUGGUAAGGAAGGUCUAUGAGUUGUAAAGGGAAAGCCAAGGGGCCCACCCUGGACGACUCCUCUAGUUUCCCUCUUCUUCUAUCUAGUUUCCAGAUGAAACCUUGAGGAGUGGGGAGCUGCUGAACAUGAUCGUGGCUGUUAUUGACUCUGCACAGGUGAACAUGGAACUUUGGCAUCUGCAGAAUGGCCUAGAAGGCAGGACUGAGGAAAUCAGGGCCUCUGCUUUCUGUUCAGGCAUACAGGCAGGAGCCCAUGCUCCACAGCACACUGCCUCCUGGCUGCAGUUGGACGUACUUUAGGCCAUGGAGGAUGGGGAGGAAAAGUGCAGAUCAAAGGCCAGUUCUGCUGGGGUUGCUGUUUGUUUGUUUGGGGCGGGUGGGUACCAGGGAUUUAACUCAGGGGCACUGACCACUGAGCCACAUCCCCAGCCCUCUUCUGCAUUUUAUUUAGAGACAGGGUCUUGCUAAGUUGCUUAGCACCUCUUUUUUGCUGAGGUUGGCUUUGAAUUCUUGAUCCUCCUAUCUCAGCCUCCCGCCCGAGCCACUGGGAUUACAGGCAUGUGUCGCUGUGUCCAGCUCAUUUAUUUAUUUUUAUUUAUUUAUUUUGCAGUACUUGUGAUUGAAUUUAGAGGUGCUCUACUGCUGAGUGACAACCUUUUUUUUUUUUUUUUAAUUUUGAGACAGAAUCUUACUAAAUUGCCAUAGGCCUCAAAUUUUUGAUCCUCCUGCUUCACUCUCCUAAAUUGCUGGGAUUACAGGCAUGCACCAUCACACUUGGUGAGGGGUUUUUUUGUUUUUGUUUUUUUCUCAACUGGCCUUCCCCUUGGCUCAGAAUGAAAAUCAUCACAUCAUUUCUACUUGACUUUUCCACCAUGCAUAGGGCCCCAAGAGAUGCUGGGAUUCAUCUCAUGCCUGGACUAAGGAUCCUUUUUUCUCCUGUUUGCUCAUUGGAAAUUAGCACUCAACAGUUCACCUUUCUUUGCCUUUACCUGCCCACGUGUAGGUCUAGAACCUGGCCCCCCAGGUCCUUCACCCACAAGGCUAAACUAAGUAAGACCAGAAGGAAAAGUUGUCCUUUCACUCUGCCAUCAGGGUGUGAAUAGUUUUCCACAAGUGUUCUUGCCCCAGAAUAGGCCCAGGGUUACUACUCAGUUGGUUGCUGUUUGACCAGCCCCUUCAUCCUUCAGAGACUGUAGCUUUCAUGGCAUUAUGCCUCUCCCUUCACAGUGGCCUCUGGCCUCUUUUAGAGCUGAUGACUCUGCCUUUUCCCUCUUCUUCCAUAGCUCCAGGAGCUGGUCUGCCAUGUGAUGAUGGGGAACCUGGUCAUGUUUCGAAAAGAUUCAGUCCUCAACAUACUCAGUAAGUGACCAGACCUUUUAGAUGCCCAGGAGAGGAGAGAGUGUCGGCCUAUGUGUUUUCCAGUGACAAGAACACUGGUUCUGGGGCUGGGAGUGGAGGGGUAGCACGCCACCCCAGCCUACCUGCUAUGUGGUCUUGGAUUGGUCUCUUUCAUAAGAUGGAAAGGUUUACCUCUGUCCCUCUAACUUCAGGGUGGGUGGGAAUACAGAAGCCCUGUGAAGACUGAAAUCAGGUGUCAUGUGGAAAGGGCAAGGGCCUAGAUUUAAGGUCACUGUCCCUCCCCUUACGCCAUCCCUGCCCUAUCUUGUCCCUAUUUGGAGUGCUGAUAGCCAGUUAGCUGAGCGUGUGUGUGUAAGAGAGAGAUAGAUGGAGGUUUCUUGUCUCUUCCAGUCCAGAGCCUAGACUGGGAAACCUUUGAGCAGUAUUGUGCCUGGCAGCUCUUCCUGGCCCACAACAUCCCCCUGGAGACCAUAAUCCCCAUCCUGCAGCACCUCAAAUACAAGGGUGAGUAGGGUUGAAGAUGGGAGAAGACCUCCAGUGCAGCUGGGGCAGGGCUGAGGCCGCCAGCUUCUAGGGUGAACCAGAGCCCUGCUCCUUCCCACCAUGGUGCAGAGAGCAGGCUCACUGUUGGUCAUUGGGCCCUGGAGAUGAGCUUUGCAGGUGCAUCCUGAGCCUGGCCCCUGGGCUGUGGCUCAGAUGCCUCUGGCAUUAGGAUCAGGGUAGGGGAUUCUUCCUGGCUUUUCGUCAAGGACUGUCCUUGGUCUUCCAGUGGCUGUUGGUGGGGGUGUGGGAGAGGUGCCCAGAUCCAUUCGUGGAAUAACACAUUCCUCUGAGCAGCCUGUACCCUUCCCCCAUAGAACACCCAGAGGCCCUGUCCUGCCUGCUGCUGCAGCUCCGAAGAGAAAAGUGAGUUCUACCCUUAGAGACUCUUAGCCCUUAGUCCCAAUGUCCUAAGAGAUACUGUGGCAUAAAGGGCUCUGUCCUGCUCCUUUUGCCAUGUUUGUUUCCUAUUAUUGACAUCUGCUUAUUCUGCCCUCCCCUCAGUGUGACUUACAAAUAAGCAGUCCCCUGGGAUCUGGGCUUCCUCUGACUUUACCCCCCCUGCCCACCAGAAACUGUCCUCAGAGGUGGGGACCGGACAUCCCUGUUUCCUGCUACCACAGCAGUUCUAAUCCUGGUGGCUCAUGCUCCCCUCCCUCAUGCUCCUGCAGGCCACCACAGGCUAAUCCAGGAGGAGGAAGGGUCAGAGUAGAGGGCUCACACCCAUGCUCUCCCUUAACCUACACAGUGCAGAGCCAGCUGGGCCCAUUGUGCCCCUGCCAGGGGUGGGGCAUGGUGGGCAAGAAAGCAGAAGUCUCCUCUUCCAUCACAGGCAACUUAGCACCAUCCCCAGGCUAAUGGGGCCACAGCUGUGUGUCUUUUCCUUCCUACCUUCUUGUCUUCCUUCCACCUUUUCUCCUGAGACACUAGAAAUGGUACAGAAUUUCCUGGGGAAGUGGGAAGUUUGGAGGCCUCUCUCCUGCCCCUCCCUCAACCUGGAUACCAGGCUUACCCCCAGCUCCAGCAGGUCAGGGGACCACAGACUUGUCCUUUGUCUCUUAGUCUCCCUCCUGACUCCUCUGGGGUAGCUAGGAGUUUGUUGGGCCUCCUUCCUGACACAUACUUGCACACUUUCCACCAUCAAACAGAAUAAUCUCACUUCUCCUCUGGCUUCUGCAGAGAGUGCAGCCAUGUGUUCCUUGGCCCAAAGAGAAGUGGGGGAGGGAUGUGAGUGUAGGAAGCGACAGCCAGGCUUGGGUUGGGUAGGGAGGCUCAGAUUCGGGAAAUCAGUAGUAAGUAAGCGGCUCCUAAGGCCAGUGUGUGGGCACAGCAUCCAGCACCCUGCUCCCCCCAGGCCCAGUGAGGAGAUGGUAAAGAUGGUCCUGAGCCGGCCCUGUCAUCCCGACGACCAGUUCACCACCAGCAUCCUGCGGCACUGGUGCAUGAAGCACGAUGAGCUGCUGGCAGAGCACAUCAAGUCCCUGCUCAUCAAGAACAAUAGCCUCCCUCGCAAGAGGCAGAGGUGGGAUGUGGUCCUUGUUUCCUGCCCACUGUCAACGGGGCAUCACCAGGGCAGUCUACAGUGACUGCCGCCUACGGUUGGUGGGUGACAUCUAGUGGUCUGAAGCCAUGCGGCCUAUAGGACCAGUGUGGCUCCUACUCCCCUCUCAUCGUGCCCUGCAGCUGUACACCUUUCUUAGCACACCCAGUCCUCCUAUCUCCCCUGGGGAAUGGACUGCCUCUGUCCUGAGGAGGGAUCUCGGUGAGGUGGAGGUGUCACACGACUGGAGCCCUCCCUUUAGGCUCAGACCAGCUCUUGUCACCUCCCUGUGCAGUCUCAGAAGCUCAAGCAGCAAGCUGGCCCAGCUGACUCUAGAGCAGAUCCUGGAGCACUUGGACAACCUGCGGCUCAACCUGACCAACACCAAGCAGAACUGUAUGCUUCUUACCCUCUUGGGGUCUAGUGCGUGGAGUGCUGCCCAGCUCAGACGCCCCUAAAGCCAGGCGGGUGGCAGGGGCAGAACCAGAACCCAAACUCUUGGGAGGAAACAAGCUUUGGUGUGGUUUAAUAAGCUCCCAGACAUCUAAUCAUUUUUCUUCCCUGCUCUCCUUUCCUUCUCCCUCCAGUUUUUAGCCAGACCCCAAUCCUCCAGGCACUGCAGCAUGUCCAAGCAAGUUGUGAUGAAGCCCACAAGAUGAAGUGAGGCUCCUUCCACUUCUGGUCUUGGGAAGUAGCGAGCAGAAGGCCUAGGGGAGAGGAGGCCCACUGGGGACACAAGCUUAAUAGCCAUCAAGACCCUGAGGUUGGGCUGGGAAUAUAGCUCAGUUGUAGAGUGCUUCUCUUGCAUCACAAGGCUCUGGGUUCAAUCCCCAGCACCGCCAAAAAACACCAACAAAAAAACCCCAAGGUUGAUAAGAGAAAUAGACCUAAGCCUGUGGGCAGAAAACAGCAUGGGAGGUGGCCAUGGGGUCAGGAUGUUCCACUCUGAGAGUUUAUUCUCCUUCCCCUUAGGUUCAGUGACCUCUUCUCCCUGGCAGAGGAAUAUGAGGACUCGUCUACUAAGCCACCCAAGAGCCGGCGAAAGGCAGCUCUGUCUAGCCCUCGAAGUCGGAAGAAUGCCACUCAGCCGCCCAAUGCUGAGGAAGAGUCGGGCUCCAGCAGUGCCUCGGUGAGACCCCGUCCAGCACCAUGGGGAGAGGCGCAAUGGGGCGGAUGGAAUGGGGGCCAGCAGGCAGCUGCCCAGCUAGUGAUUUCCCUUCUCCCCAUCCCCGUCUCUUCCAGGAGGAAGAAGACACAAAACCAAAGCCCACCAAGCGGAAACGAAAAGGGUCUUCUGCCGUGGGUUCUGACAGUGACUGAGAUCCUAUGUUCCCCAUCCUACCCUCAAUUGGACUGCCCUCCCCCUGGUGAAUCAAAGGGUAACAGGGCUGGGGAGAUACAGGGAAGAUGCCCUCCCUGCCCUGAGCUUGCCCAGUGGAAAGGAUGAGCUGCUUCUGACACCAGCCUGAGGAGCUGCCGUGCAGCCCCCCUCUGCCUCUCUGUCCUGGGGCCUCCUGUUCCCCACAUUGCCACUUCCACUGCCAUUUGGGUCUCAUGGCAGCCAGAGGCUGUGCCAGACCAGACCCUGGUGGAAUUGAUCAGCUCCCUGCCCCUCCUUCAGCCCCCUCCCCAUCUCCCAAAGAACGCUUAGCAGAGAAGGGCAGUGACAAAGGGGCGCCUGGCUGAGAGGCUAGGACGAGAGCAGGUGCUGGCUGUGGGUCCGCUUCCUGCUUCCCCGGGUUCUGGAUUUGCUCUGAACACAUGCUCUGUGGUCAUUCUCCACACCAGUGUGUAGUGGGCAUCGACCUGGUAUGGUGGCCACUAUUCCAGGCAGAUGCCAUAAACCUUCAGGAAGGAACCUGAAAGGGACUGUGCCCAGGAGGCUUGGGUUGAUCUGCAGUUGUCACCUAAGGCUGGGCCACAGCCCAGGAGAGUCCCAGAGGCAAGUUCCUCAGAACUGUCAAAUGGUCUGGUUUCCUAGGUUCUGUUUUUGCUUUUUUUUUUUUUUCUUUUUGACUUUUUUCCCUCCAGAGAUAAUCACAUUAAAAAAAUUGUUUUUAAAUGACAAUAAAACAAACCAGAAGAUCUUUUGUGCCGGAAUUGGAGUCCCAUUUACUCUCUCCAUGUAGAGUGGUCUCAGUUUAAUUGGUGCCCUUGUUGGUGGCCUGCCCACUGUCACAGCUUUCCCUCCUCUCCCUUCCUGGCCUGCCUACCCGCAGGAGGAACUUUGCCCUUCCCAUCCUGCAUUUUGGAGGUGUGAGCCAGACACUGACCUGUCCAGGUCAGAAACUGAUGAGGCCCCAUUUCCCUGCAGGCUGAGGUCUGCCCUUGCCGGUUGUUCCUCAAGACACUAGAGAUUUAGUCAAGCCGGGGAUGGAACUCAUCAGCAGAACAAUUUUUCAGCAUGCAUGAACCCUGGGCUCAAUUACCAGUCUCAAAAAAAAAAAAAACAAAAAACAA